rnacentral:rRNA from 1 species
UACGUAGGUGGCAAGCGUUGUCCGGAAUUACUGGGUGUAAAGGGCGUGUAGGCGGGGAGACAAGUCAGAUGUGAAAUACCGUGGCUUAACUGCGGGGGUGCAUCUGAAACUGUUUCUCUUGAGUGUCGGAGAGGAAAGUGGAAUUCCCAGUGUAGCGGUGAAAUGCGUAGAGAUUGGGAGGAACACCAGUUGCGAAGGCGGCCUUCUGGACGAUAACUGACGCUGAGGCGCGAAAGCGUGGGUAGCAAACAGGAUUAGAUACCCUGGUAGU